UCCCACACAACCUGGCCCCGGCCCUGACAGUAUACAUCGGCCAUGAUGAACCCAGUGGACUUGGAUCAGUUGAGGCAGGUGCCUUACAACAUGGGUCACUGCUGGGCUCUCACCAACAAAGCAUCCAGCAGGUGACCCAGACUCUUUCCUCCAUGGUCUCUCUAAGGACAUCAAGGACCACCUGAUCAUCCAGGAAACUUUCCAGUGAUUUAUAAAUCCUUGAUUUCCCUAAAAAAACCAAAGCAGUGGUUCUUCCCUGUGGAGACACAGUGGAGGGGGAUUCAGUGACUUUGAGCUGUAGCAGUGAUGCAAACCCUCCUGUUCUCAAUUACACCUGGUUCAGAGCUGCAGACACAAUGCUGACAACAGGCCAGAAUUACAGCAUCAGCAACAUCAGCUCCCAACAUAGCGGACUGUACUACUGCACCGCUCACAACCAUCUGGGACAGCAGAACUCUACACCAACACACCUUGAUGUCUUAUGUAGGUACCAGUUUUUUAAAUCUAAAUAUAAUACAUUCAAUAUCUAAUCAAACAUCUCUUCUGAUCAGACGCUCCUCGAAUAACGACUGUGACUGCCGUUUCAUCUGUUUCUGGUGAUUUAGUCACACUGUUGUGCAAAAGUGAUUCAAACCCCAUCAGCAAUUACACCUGGAACAGGAGAACAAAAGGAGGUGUGAAACUGACUGGAAAUGCCAUUAAUUUAACUUUACACUUAGGAGCAGAUGGACUUUAUGUCUGUACAGCAACAAAUCAGUUAGGAUCAUCUAAUUCAUCAGGAUGGGCAUAUACAGCAGAUAAAAGACAUGGGAAAUAUGCAGGUUCUGCAGUCACUGUCGUUCUGGUUCUAAUAGUCAUUGCUAUCAUUCUGUGGAUGAGAAAAAGAGCAUCAAUGGUCAGUACCAGCUGUGAGGAGUGGAGCAUGAAUGACUCUGUUCAUAUAUAUGAUAACAUCUCAGCCAUGACAUCUGAUCCCACACAAACAGGCUCCUCAGAAGAUCAGGACAACUUUCAAUACUCAACUAUUUAUUUCAGUCAAUUCCCUACAGAUAAAUUGGCUAUUUACUCAAAUGUUCAACUGCCAAACUCUGUAAAACAAGAAGAGGAAGUAGAAUACGCCACAGUAAGCCACGUCAAACCAAGAGUUGUUGGGGAUGAUGAAAUCUACAAAAAUCUGCAGCCCAACAAAUAAGAAGAGUCCAAACUGAUAAUAAAAUUAAUAAAAUUCUGUGGCAAAUUUUCUAUAUUAAAAUAAGGUCUAUUAAAAAAAGAAUAUAUGUUUUUAUAAUGUAAAUUAUAAAGUGAAGUGGUUUUGUGAAGGGGUUUGGUAAUAUGUUUAUUAUUAUUUAUAUUAAUAUUGUAUUAUGGUUAAAAGCUUACAUCA